rnacentral:rRNA from 1 species
AGAGUUUGAUCAUGGCUCAGAAUGAACGCUAGCGGCGUGCCUUAACACAUGCAAGUCGUACGAGAACUCUUUAGCUUGCUAAAGAUAGUAAAGCGGCGCACGGGUGAGUAACGCGUGGGUAAUCUACCUCUGAAUUUGGGAUAACUCCGCGAAAGCGGGGCUAAUACCGGAUAAUAUUUCAGGAUUUUCGGGUCUUGAAAUCAAAACCGGCCUCCACAUGUAAGCUACUGUUUGGAUAUGAGCCCGCGUACCAUUA